AAAAGAAAGAGCUCAGUUAAGAGGCCAUAUCACCAGAUAAACUGGAGAAAUGCAAAGGACCCAACCUUUACAGAAACCGAUUUCAUCACAGCUCUAUUGCACCAGCCGGGAAA
rnacentral:sRNA from 1 species